GACGAACUUUGGCGGCGUGCUUAACACAUGCAAGUCGAACGGAAAGGCCCUGCUUUUGUGGGGUGCUCGAGUGGCGAACGGGUGAGUAACACGUGAGUAACCUGCCCUUGACUUUGGGAUAACUUCAGGAAACUGGGGCUAAUACCGGAUAGGAGCUCCUGCUGCAUGGUGGGGGUUGGAAAGUUUCGGCGGUUGGGGAUGGACUCGCGGCUUAUCAGCUUGUUGGUGGGGUAGUGGCUUACCAAGGCUUUGACGGGUAGCCGGCCUGAGAGGGUGACCGGCCACAUUGGGACUGAGAUACGGCCCAGACUCCUACGGGAGGCAGCAGUGGGGAAUAUUGCACAAUGGGCGGAAGCCUGAUGCAGCAACGCCGCGUGCGGGAUGACGGCCUUCGGGUUGUAAACCGCUUUCGCCUGUGACGAAGCGUGAGUGACGGUAAUGGGUAAAGAAGCACCGGCUAACUACGUGCCAGCAGCCGCGGUGAUACGUAGGGUGCGAGCGUUGUCCGGAUUUAUUGGGCGUAAAGGGCUCGUAGGUUGUUGAUCGCGUCGGAAGUGUAAUCUUGGGGCUUAACCCUGAGCGUGCUUUCGAUACGGGUUGACUUGAGGAAGGUAGGGGAGAAUGGAAUUCCUGGUGGAGCGGUGGAAUGCGCAGAUAUCAGGAGGAACACCAGUGGCGAAGGCGGUUCUCUGGGCCCUUCCUGACGCUGAGGAGCGAAAGCGUGGGGAGCGAACAGGCUUAGAUACCCUGGUAGUCCAUGCUGUAAACGGUGGGUACUAGGUGUGGGGUCCAUUCCACGGGUUCCGUGCCGUAGCUAACGCUUUAAGUACCCCGCCUGGGGAGUACGGCCGCAAGGCUAAAACUCAAAGGAAUUGACGGGGCCCCGCACAAGCGGCGGAGCAUGCGGAUUAAUUCGAUGCAACGCGUAGAACCUUACCUGGGUUUGACAUGGAUCGGGAGUGCUCAGAGAUGGGUGUGCCUCUUUUGGGGUCGGUUCACAGGUGGUGCAUGGCUGUCGUCAGCUCGUGUCGUGAGAUGUUGGGUUAAGUCCCGCAACGAGCGCAACCCUUGUUCACUGUUGCCAGCACGUUAUGGUGGGGACUCAGUGGAGACCGCCGGGGUCAACUCGGAGGAAGGUGGGGAUGACGUCAAGUCAUCAUGCCCCUUAUGUCCAGGGCUUCACGCAUGCUACAAUGGCUGGUACAGAGAGUGGCGAGCCUGUGAGGGUGAGCGAAUCUCGGAAAGCCGGUCUCAGUUCGGAUUGGGGUCUGCAACUCGACCUCAUGAAGUCGGAGUCGCUAGUAAUCGCAGAUCAGCAACGCUGCGGUGAAUACGUUCCCGGGGCU
rnacentral:rRNA from 1 species